rfam:Pseudohongiella acticola strain KCTC 42131 KCTC42131_S1, whole genome shotgun sequence.
CAACUUUUAACUUAACGUCACACAUGCACCGACACAUGUUCUUGGGUGCUCAAUUUCAGCGCUCUGACCCUGAUAUAUCACGGGCAGAGGAUGGGCUGGCAAGCUGCCAGCACUAACACUGAAAGCGGGUUAGAUCAUGGGGUGUAUGGAGGCCUAAC